GGUAAACGGGGUAGGGGUAAGUAGCUGGAGUGCUCCAACUUGUACGCAUGUCUUGUUGGGAAAGUGUUUAGUGGCAUGGGAUGGGGUCGCGUCCUAUCAGCUUGUAGGCGGGGUAAUGGCCCACCUAGGCUUCGACGGGCAGCCGGCCUGAGAGGGCGGACGGCCACAUUGGGACUGAGAUACGGCCCAGACUCCUACGGGAGGCAGCAGUC
rnacentral:rRNA from 1 species